UACGUAGGGUGCAAGCGUUGUCCGGAAUUAUUGGGCGUAAAGAGCUUGUAGGCGGUUUGUCGCGUCUGCUGUGAAAUUUCGGGGCUCAACCCCGAACUUGCAGUGGGUACGGGCAGACUAGAGUGUGGUAGGGGAGACUGGAAUUCCUGGUGUAGCGGUGAAAUGCGCAGAUAUCAGGAGGAACACCGGUGGCGAAGGCGGGUCUCUGGGCCACUACUGACGCUGAGGAGCGAAAGCGUGGGGAGCGAACAGG
rnacentral:rRNA from 1 species